UACGGAGGGGGCUAGCGUUGUUCGGAAUUACUGGGCGUAAAGCGCACGUAGGCGGCUUUGUAAGUUAGAGGUGAAAGCCCAGGGCUUAACCCUGGAAUUGCCUUUAAGACUGCAUCGCUAGAAUCGUGGAGAGGUAAGUGGAAUUCCGAGUGUAGAGGUGAAAAUUCGUAGAUAUUCGGAAGAACACCAGUGGCGAAGGCGACUUACUGGACACGUAUUGACGCUGAGGUGGCGAAAAGCG
rnacentral:rRNA from 1 species